rnacentral:rRNA from 1 species
UACGUAGGUGACAAGCGUUGUCCGGAUUUACUGGGCGUAAAGAGCGCGCAGGCGGUCGAUCAAGUCGAGUGUGAAAGCCCCCGGCUCAACUGGGGAGGGUCAUUCGAUACUGAUCGACUCGAAGGCAGGAGAGGGUAGUGGAAUUCCUGGUGUAGCGGUGAAAUGCGCAGAUAUCAGGAGGAACACCGGUGGCGAAGGCGGGUCUCUGGGCCGAUACUGACGCUGAGGAGCGAAAGCGUGGGGAGCGAACAGG